AACGAACGCUGGCGGCAGGCUUAACACAUGCAAGUCGAACGCCCCGCAAGGGGAGUGGCAGACGGGUGAGUAACGCGUGGGAAUCUACCCAGUUCUACGGAACAACUGAGGGAAACUUCAGCUAAUACCGUAUACGCCCUACGGGGGAAAGAUUUAUCGGAAUUGGAUGAGCCCGCGUUGGAUUAGCUAGUUGGUGAGGUAACGGCUCACCAAGGCGACGAUCCAUAGCUGGUCUGAGAGGAUGAUCAGCCACACUGGGACUGAGACACGGCCCAGACUCCUACGGGAGGCAGCAGUGGGGAAUAUUGGACAAUGGGCGCAAGCCUGAUCCAGCCAUGCCGCGUGAGUGAUGAAGGCCUUAGGGUUGUAAAGCUCUUUCAGUGGGGAAGAUAAUGACGGUACCCACAGAAGAAGCCCCGGCUAACUUCGUGCCAGCCGCCGCCGUAG
rnacentral:rRNA from 1 species